AUGGACGAAAGUCUGAUGGAGCAACGCCGCGUGAGUGAAGAAGGGUUUCGGCUCGUAAAACUCUGUUGUUAAAGAAGAACAUAUCUGAGAGUAACUGUUCAGGUAUUGACGGUAUUUAACCAGAAAGCCACGGCUAACUACGUGCCAGCAGCCGCGGUAAUACGUAGGUGGCAAGCGUUGUCCGGAUUUAUUGGGCGUAAAGCGAGCGCAGGCGGUUUUUUAAGUCUGAUGUGAAAGCCUUCGGCUUAACCGAAGAAGUGCAUCGGAAACUGGGAAACUUGAGUGCAGAAGAGGACAGUGGAACUCCAUGUGUAGCGGUGAAAUGCGUAGAUAUAUGGAAGAACACCAGUGGCGAAGGCGGCUGUCUGGUCUGUAACUGACGCUGAGGCUCGAAAGUAUGGGUAGCAAACAGGAUUAGAUACCCUGGUAGUCCAUACCGUAAACGAUGAAUGCUAAGUGUUGGAAGGUUUCCGCCCUCAGUGCUGCAGCUAACGCAUUAAGCAUUCCGCCUGGGGAGUACCG
rnacentral:rRNA from 2 species